rnacentral:piRNA from 1 species
UCCUAGGGUCAAUCAUGAAAUGGGCACAA